rnacentral:lncRNA from 1 species
GAUUCUAACAAUAUUGUUAGUAUUGUUACGCCUCUUAAUAGUAAAAUUGCUCUUGCGCCUUCCAGUGUUUUCUCACAUACAUGAUCUUAACCGACCUUCACAGCACCUUUUGUGAGGUUGUCAGAGGAGAGAUGUACCUGCAUCUGAGGUAAUAAGAGGAUGCUGAAAGGCAGAUGAGGAGAUGCACACAAGGUCACAGGAAGUGAGCAGCAGAGUUACAAUUUAGCCAGGUUCUGUAGCUUCAGACCAAGACAUUUCCCUCUUGGCCAUGCUAUCUGUGGCACUGAGGGAGUUCUGGAAAGAGUUUGUCUUGGGGCUUUUCUUCUUGUAAUAAGUAUUAGAUUCCUCCUUGAAACCAUUUUAUGAUAGAAAGUUAACUAAAUACGUAUUGGCAGAACUUAAGAUUUUGUUUUCAUAUGACUUUAAUGAUACCCUGAGGUUUGAAAAAGGAAAGAGAAAAAAGUUAGCAACAGAAAGAGUAAUGUCAAAAAGUAAUUAGAGCAGGACAAAUGGAUUGUGCUGCCAUGUUCAAGGCUGUUAUUUCUGUAGGCAGUGAGGAGGAAGGGCACUAAUGCAAAGUGACGGAUCUGGAGCAAAACCCAGGGCACUGAGCGAACUGCAGAGACUCAACCAAUGGUCACACUUUGCAGGGGAUGGGCUGAUACGGGGAGCAAAGAGAACCCUACUGGCCCCACAGAGACAGACCUGCUUGGCACACCGGGAAGGGAAACAUAUUGCUGAACCUUUGCCAGUGUUCCCUGCCUGAUACCGAGGUGAUAACCCAUUUUUGUGAUUCUAUAAUUAUUCGUAUUCUAAGUCUUCUGAGGGGCCUCAACAGUUAUUUGUUUAUGGAAUUGUUUCACAAGGUUCAUUUAUCUAUGCAUCUACACAUUUUAAAAUUGAACUCCGUGAUAUAUUGUGCACUGUGUUUGCAGGAUCUGCACCUUGAUGAGAAGUCCUCACACCUGAAGCCAG